rnacentral:guide_RNA from 1 species
AUAUAUAACUAGGCAAUCGUGGAUAUCGUAUAAUAGUGUGAGAUGAUAU